UACGUAGGGUGCAAGCGUUGUCCGGAAUUAUUGGGCGUAAAGAGCUCGUAGGCGGUUUGUCGCGUCUGCUGUGAAAACUCGGGGCUUAACUCCGGGCCUGCAGUGGGUACGGGCAGACUAGAGUUCGGUAGGGGAGACUGGAAUUCCUGGUGUAGCGGUGAAAUGCGCAGAUAUCAGGAGGAACACCGGUGGCGAAGGCGGGUCUCUGGACAGUUCCUGACGCUGAGGCACGAAGGUCAGGGGAGCAAACGGG
rnacentral:rRNA from 1 species